rnacentral:rRNA from 1 species
UGGGGAAUUUUGGACAAUGGGCGAAAGCCUGAUCCAGCAAUGCCGCGUGUGUGAAGAAGGCCUUCGGGUUGUAAAGCACUUUUGUCCGGAAAGAAAUCCUUGGCUCUAAUACAGUCGGGGGAUGACGGUACCGGAAGAAUAAGCACCGGCUAACUACGUGCCAGCAGCCGCGGUAAUACGUAGGGUGCAAGCGUUAAUCGGAAUUACUGGGCGUAAAGCGUGCGCAGGCGGUUUGCUAAGACCGAUGUGAAAUCCCCGGGCUCAACCUGGGAACUGCAUUGGUGACUGGCAGGCUAGAGUAUGGCAGAGGGGGGUAGAAUUCCACGUGUAGCAGUGAAAUGCGUAGAGAUGUGGAGGAAUACCGAUGGCGAAGGCAGCCCCCUGGGCCAAUACUGACGCUCAUGCACGAAAGCGUGGGGAGCAAACAGGAUUAGAUACCCUGGUAGUCCACGCCCUAAACGAUGUCAACUAGUUGUUGGGGGACUUCAUUUUCCUUAGUAACGUAGCUAACGCGUGAAGUUGACCGCCUGGGGAGUACGGUCGCAAGAUUAAAACUCAAAGGAAUU